GGCUCUCUGGCCAAGUGGUGACGGCAACAGACUAGAAAUCUGUUCCCUUUAAAGGGCGUAGGUUCGAAACCUACUAGCGUUG
rnacentral:tRNA from 1 species